GACAGAGGGUGCAAACGUUGCUCGGAAUUACUGGGCGUAAAGCGCGUGUAGGCGGUUCCGCCAGUCUGGUGUGAAAGCCCGGGGCUCAACCCCGGAAGCGCAUUGGGAUACUACGGAGCUUGAGUCCUGAAGAGGAGAGCGGAAUUCCCGGUGUAGAGGUGAAAUUCGUAGAUAUCGGGAGGAACACCAGUGGCGAAGGCGGCUCUCUGGACAGGUACUGACGCUGAGACGCGAAAGCGUGGGUAGCAAACAGG
rnacentral:rRNA from 1 species